GAAAGUUUUCCCUUAACACCUUCUGGAAAUGUCUUGCUGCCAUUGGAGCUUUCUCUAACCAUUUUGGACUUGGAUUUUGCCGGGAGGGGCUGUGGGCCCUCCUUGCUGGGAGGGCUGGAAGAGGAGAGCAGAGGGAUGGCCAGUUUCCAUUGUGGAGCUUUCCCGUACAAGGAUUAACCAUCACAAGCGGUGCAGUGCAGCUCUGGCAACCUCCCUGGAAAACACGCAUCCUGAAUAAUGAUGACUGCUGAAAGCAGGACAGAAAAUCCACCCGUCUGCUCCUUAAAUCAGCACUGGUGACCAGCACCUCAGACAAAGAGCAGUGCUGGGUAGCACCCCCAUUCCCACAGCCUGCCCGCCCCCCCGGCAAACCUGGCUUGUUCUCUACAGAGGCUCCCAUCAAAGCACGCAGGCAAGGCGAGAAAUGCUAACUGUGGGGAUGCUCCUGCCCAGCAUCACGUAUCUGUUUGGGGGGGCAGGCUCCCCAGUUCCUCUGGAGGGUAUAGGCUUGUGUUUUUCAUUUUAGGGACCAAGACCUGCACCUAAGGACUAGCAGUGCUUGAGGUGAUGAACAAUCUGGGCCAGCACAUGGGGAGAGCAAGCAGCUCAAUCUUCUGUCUUGCCUGGUUCACUUUCUGCUUAUGACAGAGGGCAGGACGUAAUGCUUAGCCCAGGUCGCCCUACUCACUCCUGCCACAGGAGUACCACCAGUGGGUCUUGCUGAAGCAAACAGGCUGGCUUCUCAUUUGUUUCUCGCUGUCAGGAUGAUGAGUCCAACUAGAUUUCUUUCUGUUUGUGUUUGCUGCUUGUUUGUGCUGACAAAACACAUGCAUAGUUUGUAGUUCACUCAUUUCAGCUGGUUGCUGUUCCAUUUUAAUGUGAGGCGCUUCGUCGGAGGUCAUUUACUCAGUAUGCUGCUGGGCCAUUUACAAAUAUGAACUGAUGAAUAUUUCAUCAUUGUUCACCAGGAAUUCUGUUGGUGUAGAGCUUCAUGGCAGUGAGUCAGUACGUGAUGCACUCAACCUGAAAUCAUUUCAUUGCAGCAUCUCUCAUCAGGCAUGCUAACUGCUGACGUUUGGAAGAAGGAGGAAUACGUAUAUGUAUUAAUACAAUACUCUUUAUCUCACCUUGAUUCUGCUUAAAUAUCUGUGGAAUCAGUGUUGCCUGGGGAAGGGGGUCUUUUGAUGAAAUAGCAAGAGCAGCCAUCUAAUCCCAUUCACUGUAAGUGCAAUACCCAGUCUUCCUUCCCGCAGUGCCACACCUCCGGGAGGGAGGCUCUGCUGGAAUCAGAGACUCCCUCUUAAGAGCAGGCACUUGCAGCAGAGGAGGUGCUGAGACAAAUUUAUCUUGCUGCAAAGCAUUCUAAUGGAAGCAGGGCACAGUGUGCAGGGGACACAUGGCCGUGUUAAUGCCUGCUUGAGACUGCAAAGAGACUGGAGCAAUCGUUCUGCAGAGGGAUACCCAAGCUAUUUGUCUCAGAGACCAAAGAUGAUUCAGGCACCGGCAUCAUUAGGUGUUUCAUUGCUGAACCCACUGAAAAAAUCAGAGUCUGGGAUAGAGUACCAAGGCUGACAGCAAGGUCUGUAAAGGUAUUUUACCCUGCAGCUGAGAGGGAGGAUGUUGCUCUCUUGAUGGUGGAGUGGCAGCAGAAUGUCCCAGCUGCAUGAUACAGAUGUGCUAGUGGCAGUGCCUCCCUCCUCACCUGCUGACUGAGGAAAAACCAGUGGGAGGGCGUCCUCUGUAAUGGUGGUGCUUACACCAGUGUCAAACAGUAUUGCACUCCUGGAUUUUCUGGACUGUGUGGCUUUCAUGGUGAUUGAAGUCUCACACUGAUAACCAGGGUUGUGGAGCACUAGUGUUUCACUAGUGAGAAAAUAAUCCAGUCAACAGGGCCCUGUAACUAUCCAUGCUUCUUCAGCCCUUUCCUUUGGUGCUGUUGGUGGCAACUCUGGGGCCUGAAGGAACAAAGGUUAUUGUGACCAUGUCAGAUACAGCAGGGGGAAAGGAGGCCAUGUGUACCUGAAAGCUGUCUCCAUCCCUUUACACUCAGAAACCGCUCUCUGGUGCCCAGACCCCAGGGAUGGGCUGCAAAAUCUGCCUGCUCUUUAUUUAAUGCUGGAUAGUUUCCUGCUGCUUCUGAGAUUUUGUGAAGUCUGUAGAGACUGGAAGUCUGUAGAGCAGGGACAACCCACCACUGUGCUAUUCAUAUCUGCCUGUGCUCAUACCCUUCAAUACAAAGUACUCAGUGAAAGCCAGCUUGUAAAAGGAGGGAAGCUUGGACUGUGAGAACCAUCCAAUAUAGUUUGGAUUUUGGUGUAGCAGAGGAAGGACAAGAGGCAACAAGUCGCAGCGUGAGAAAUUACAGUUGGAUGUAAGGAAGAAAAUUUUCACAGGCCUGUUUCCCAGACUGGAGGGCUGAGGACUUCACUGGUGUGGUGGUAGCAGCUGUUUGUUGUCAAUGCCUCUCCAGUGGCACUGAGUACUCCAAAGAAUUUUUACCCUUCCUUCGUCACCACUCUGCUUGGAUGCCUUUGUAGUGAUGGGAGAAAACAUCUAUGUGAUGCCAAAGGUAUGAAGAGAAACUUAGUUGUAUAGAGGAAAUGCUCCUCAGUUUGAAGAUCUUGUUUGAAGGGCCAAUGGAGAAACACCCUGAAAUUAAAGAUAUUUCAGAGAAAAAAGGAGGGAAGCACACAGACACAAGAAAGAAAGCAAAGUAAGCAUCCUGUCUAUUGGAGAAAUUGCCUUCAAAUAAGAGAAAUUAUUUCCCCAGAGAUAAUUUGGUCCUAGGAGUCAAAUUGUCACUAAACAAAAAGCCAGAUCAAGAGCAGCAAAUUGAUUUUGCUUCCAGUGUCUUUCUUCUA